UUGUACAGUGAACACAACAGCCAUAACUUCUUCCGGGUGAACACAACAGCCAUAACGACCAUUUAGAAAGCCUCCACUAUGUGUUAGGCAUUGCAGUGCAAGAGGGUAUCCUUUUAACUCUUGCCAUAGCUUGGUGAGAGUGGACGUUGUUUUCUUAAUAAUACAGAGGAAAGGCCACGUGAGGGCACAGCAAGAAGGCAGCCGUCUGGAAGCCAAGGAGAGAGUCCUCACCAGAAACCAACAGUGAUGGCACCUUGAUGUUGGACGUCUAGCCUCCAAAACUGUGUGGAAGACUGUAGUGCAGCGUGGAAGAAGUCUGGUCACUGCUUUGAGACGUGUGGAGUCUAUUAGAAGAGGCCGCACAAGGCUGUCCCAUUAGCACAGGAGAUAGGGUCUUUAAAUGGGAGCAAUCACGGCAGUAUACGGAAUGGCCCCCGUGGAGAGGGAUUUCCAGCAAGUUCUUUGGCGUUAGCUUUUCUGUCUUCUUCAGAUCCUGAGGUUAUGGGCAAGCCUCCAGCCAGAGCUUCACACAAUGGCUGGUGACUGCUCCCAGGCCACAGUGGUGCCCUUCAUUUGCCAAAGGAUUGCCACCAACCCCUAGUUGCCCACUAAUCUUUACCUUCUGUGUCCUCCACUGUGUCCUCGGACACGCUAUCAAACUUUAACAUCCAGCUUGGUGUCUUUUGUUAUUUUUCUGUAGGAGGUCGGGUGCCAUCAUUUAGACAUCUCUUGACACACACAUAGAGGUCACACAGAGAGGCCCUCAGGAAGAAAACAACGCACAUUUCCAGUAUGCUUGAUACAGCUCUCAUUGGUUGAGUGGCUGCAGCAUGGUGAGAAGGUGCUCACUGAUAGACGGAUCUGCCAGGCUGGAUCUCAGGGCGUGAGAAGAUAGGAUAGUUCUCAGAGUAUCAGGAAAGUAUAUAUCAAUGUCAUGCACUGUAUUACUCCACGAGGUGACUAUUUCAAAGUUCAGUAGUGCUAUAACAAAUGUAGCUUACUGGCUAAGCAUGCAGCCUUUGGAAUCAGACAGACCUGGAUGCAUAUUAGGAUUUGUGAUUCACUAGUGCUGUCAUUGUGCUCUGCACCACUGGACAAUGAAUAGCGCCCAUCGCCCAGAGAUGUUGAAAGGAUUAAGUGAGAUACAGCAUGUAAAAUCCCCAACAGUACUCAAUAUCUAGUAAGCACUCAGUGUAGGUGAUGAUAAUGAUGAUUACUUAAUAUUCCUCAAAAUAUAUUCCACCCAGGAAUAGUGCACUUGGGUAUGUUAACAACUAUAAUGUGGGGGAAAAGUUUCAGAGGUCACAGAGAAUAUCAACAUACUCACAGCUCUGUGGGGUUGUGCAGUAAAGCGGUCAGUAGAGUUUUGUGUAACCCACCUUGUCCCAAGUUUAUUUGAAGAUGGAAUCUAUUUUCCUCUUAGAACUACUAAUCUCACUAGCGUGCCCCAGAGCACUGUUUCAAUGAUGCUCAUUUGUGAAAAUAAUUCUUAGUUGUGUGACUAGUUAAUCAGAAUCUACUGUUUUAACUGCUGGCUUCACUCUGAAACAGAAGCCACCCAGGGGCGCCUGGGUGGCUCAGUCGGUUAAGCGUCCGACUUCGGCUCAGGUCAUGAUCUCACUGUCCGUGAGUUCGAGCCCCGCGUCGGGCUCUGUGCCGACAGCUCGGAGCCUGGAGCCUGCUUCAGAUUCUGUGUCUCCCUCUCUGACCCUCCCCCCUUCA